AUUCAUGUAUUCUAAUUGUAAGAGCUGAAUUCUUACUUCAGUAAUGUGUAUAACACCAUGGGUU
rnacentral:tRNA from 1 species